rnacentral:rRNA from 1 species
AUCGGGGAUCAGAUUCUUAAGAAAUUGGCGGGGAGGCGCACAAGCGGAGGAACAUGUGGUUUAAUUCGAUGAUACGCGAGGAACCUUACCCGGGCUUGAAAUGCAGAUGACAGGGGCAGAGACGCCCCCUCCCCUCGGGGCAUCUGUGUAGGUGCUGCAUGGUUGUCGUCAGCUCGUGCCGUGAGGUGUCGGCUUAAGUGCCAUAACGAGCGCAACCCCUAUCGCCAGUUGCUAGCAGGUCAUGCUGAGGACUCUGGCGAGACUGCCAUCGUAAGAUGCGAGGAAGGUGGGGAUGACGUCAAAUCAGCACGGCCCUUAUGUCCGGGGCGACACACGUGUUACAAUGGGGGGUACAAAGGGCGGCUACCGGGCGACCGGAUGCCAAUCUCCAAAACCCCUCUCAGUUCGGAUCGGAGUCUGCAACUCGACUCCGUGAAGCUGGAUUCGCUAGUAAUCGCGCAUCAGCCACGGCGCGGUGAAUGCGAUCUCGGCCCCUUGCACACACCGCCCGAAUCU